rnacentral:rRNA from 1 species
GCAGUCGACGAUGAAGCCCUUCGGGGUGGAUUAGUGGCGAACGGGUGAGUAACACGUGGGCAAUCUGCCCUUCACUCUGGGACAAGCCCUGGAAACGGGGUCUAAUACCGGAUAUCACUCCCGCAGGCAUCUGUGGGGGUCGAAAGCUCCGGCGGUGAAGGAUGAGCCCGCGGCCUAUCAGCUUGUUGGUGAGGUAAUGGCUCACCAAGGCGACGACGGGUAGCCGGCCUGAGAGGGCGACCGGCCACACUGGGACUGAGACACGGCCCAGACUCCUACGGGAGGCAGCAGUGGGGAAUAUUGCACAAUGGGCGAAAGCCUGAUGCAGCGACGCCGCGUGAGGGAUGACGGCCUUCGGGUUGUAAACCUCUUUCAGCAGGGAAGAAGCGAAAGUGACGGUACCUGCAGAAGAAGCGCCGGCUAACUACGUGCCAGCAGCCGCGGUAAUACGUAGGGCGCAAGCGUUGUCCGGAAUUAUUGGGCGUAAAGAGCUCGUAGGCGGCUUGUCACGUCGGGUGUGAAAGCCCGGGGCUUAACCCCGGGUCUGCAUUCGAUACGGGCUAGCUAGAGUGUGGUAGGGGAGAUCGGAAUUCCUGGUGUAGCGGUGAAAUGCGCAGAUAUCAGGAGGAACACCGGUGGCGAAGGCGGAUCUCUGGGCCAUUACUGACGCUGAGGAGCGAAAGCGUGGGG